rnacentral:rRNA from 1 species
GAUGAACGCUGGCGGCGUGCCUAAUACAUGCAAGUCGAGCGAACUGAUUAGAAGCUUGCUUCUAUGACGUUAGCGGCGGACGGGUGAGUAACACGUGGGCAACCUGCCUGUAAGACUGGGAUAACUUCGGGAAACCGAAGCUAAUACCGGAUAGGAUCUUCUCCUUCAUGGGAGAUGAUUGAAAGAUGGUUUCGGCUAUCACUUACAGAUGGGCCCGCGGUGCAUUAGCUAGUUGGUGAGGUAACGGCUCACCAAGGCAACGAUGCAUAGCCGACCUGAGAGGGUGAUCGGCCACACUGGGACUGAGACACGGCCCAGACUCAUACGGGAGGCAGCAGUAGGGAAUCUUCCGCAAUGGACGAAAGUCUGACGGAGCAACGCCGCGUGAGUGAUGAAGGCUUUCGGGUCGUAAAACUCUGUUGUUAGGGAAGAACAAGUACGAGAGUAACUGCUCGUACCUUGACGGUACCUAACCAGAAAGCCACGGCUAACUACGUGCCAGCCGCCGCAGUAACAC